rnacentral:rRNA from 1 species
UACGUAGGGUGCGAGCGUUAAUCGGAAUUACUGGGCGUAAAGCGUGCGCAGGCGGUUUUUUAAGUCAGAUGUGAAAGCCCCGGGCUCAACCUGGGAAUUGCAUUUGAAACUGGGAAACUAGAGUGUGUGAGAGGGGGGUAGAAUUCCAAGUGUAGUGGUGAAAUGCGUAGAGAUUUGGAGGAAUACCAGUGGCGAAGGCGGCCCCCUGGCACAACACUGACGCUCAGGUGCGAAAGCGUGGGGAGCAAACAGG